CGUGGCAGAGCUUGUUAAGCAACUUAUUUACACUAAGAAGAGCUCUGUGUUAGACAGAGUGUUGUGA
rnacentral:tRNA from 1 species